GUGGUAAUUAGUACUGGUGCUGCUGUGGAGCACAUAAUAUAUUGCAUUGCAUGCCACACAUCUCUGGCAAAACAUGCGGCCUCUUUAACUGUUUAUGUUGCAUGCGGAUUAUUUUGGUAGAGUUGUUUAAGUUGUGGUAGCUAUUGUUUUCCAUCGUAAAAUAAUCUUUCUGGGACAUAGUUUGUCUUGAGCAGUCCAAAUAUUUUUUCUUUAUUAAUAUAAUUGGCAGCUUUUCUACUUGAUUUGUUACAAAACAAACCAUUAAAAUAUACUAGUCUGUCACACAAAUCUCAUCGAUCGUCUUCCCUACCGGGCCGCUUAUGUAUGCAUGGCCUAUAUCAGAUUCAGAUGUCACCGGGCGGCGGCUUGCACAUGUAGGAACACUGGCAUGCCCCGCGGAUGCACAGCCCGUCGCCCUUUAGCUGGUUGAAGCAUUUGUUUUCGCACGUCGUCAACGUCUUGUCGUUGCAGCCGCUGGAGUAGAGGACCGAAGAGCACCUAUACUCUGGCGGGAACAUCUUGCCCGGCGCCGGCGCUGGCGCUGGCGCGGUGCAGAUCCCUGCAUGGAUAUAUUAUCUAUCACACACAAUAUUACUAUGGAAGUAUGGACGAACGCUCUAGCCUCUGUUGGUGUUCAUGUGUGAUAUGAAAAACGAUUGUCCUGCUUAUUACCUGUUGACAGCAUGGCCAUCACCAUGGCAACAACAAGGAGUAGUGCUCCAUGGCUGGUUCUCAUUGUCGUAUCAAAGCUUAUUAGCUAGAGCCUAGAGGUGGGAGUUGUUUAAUUCAAUAGUUUUGUUGGAGAUAGUUACUGAAUACCUACGCAUUCUAAUGGGGUGGGGUGGGGGUAGUUU
rnacentral:lncRNA from 1 species